UACAGAGGGUGCAAGCGUUGUUCGGAAUUAUUGGUCGUAAAGCGCGUGUAGGCGGCUUGGCAAGUCAGAUGUGAAAGCCCUCGGCUUAACCGAGGAAGUGCGUCUGAAACUGCUGAGCUUGAGUGUCGGAGAGGAUGGCGGAAUUCCGCAAGUAGAGGUGAAAUUCGUAGAUAUGCGGAGGAACACCGGUGGCGAAGGCGGCCAUCUGGACGACUACUGACGCUGAGACGCGAAAGCGUGGGGAGCAAACAGG
rnacentral:rRNA from 1 species